GGAUGGGUGGCCGAGCGGCUGAAGGCACUCGCCUGCUAAGUGAGUAUGGGUCAAAAGCCCAUCGAGGGUUCGAAUCCCUCCCCAUCCGCCA
rnacentral:tRNA from 1 species